rnacentral:sRNA from 1 species
CCCCGGCUUGACAGCCGGGGCUAUUAUUGUUACGGCCCUUCAGGCCU